CUGAUUCUUAGCUACUGCUAGUAAUCGAAUUGGAUAAUAACGAUUCUUUUAAACUAAUAUAAUAUAUUGAAGAGGAUCGAUCGCAAGGGGCAGAAAGGGAUGAUGUACACACCUUCAUCAAUUUGGAGAUGGAGACGAUGGAGAGUGAGUAGGUACUGUUGGAUCAGAGAUCAUAUGAUAUAUUGUUGGUUAAUGGAAACCUUUGGAACGACGAACCAUCCAUCUAAUAUAAGACACC
rnacentral:lncRNA from 7 species